UACGUAGGGGGCAAGCGUUGUCCGGAUUUAUUGGGCGUAAAGAGCGUGUAGGCGGUUUGGUAGGUCCGUUGUGAAAACUCGAGGCUCAACCUCGAGACGCCGAUGGAAACCAUCAGACUAGAGUCCGGAAGAGGAGAGUGGAAUUCCUGGUGCAGCGGUGAAAUGCGCAGAUAUCAGGAAGAACACCCGUGGCUAAGGCGGCUCUCUAGUACGGUACUGACGCUGAGACGCGAAAGCGUGGGGAGCGAACAGG
rnacentral:rRNA from 1 species